CUCGCUCUGACCAAGAAGGGUAAAAGAAUAGCAAAGAAACAGCACUAACAAAGUUUAGACCCAUAAAUUUUGAAGGUCUAGCUACCAUAUUAUUACCCACAAGGGUAAAGGAACAGUACCACUGCUGGAUAAUUGGAAGGUCCCUGUGUGUCAACCUCUGUGCUUCGUGGCAAGGUAGACUAGCAAACAUGCCCAACCUUUACUCACAUUCGAGAAAACACUCCCAAUAAGAUUGCUUGCUCCAAAAUCGAAGAGGCACCGUCCUCCGAAUCUCGAAUCUCGAGAGAGCCAGACUCCCAACAUGACUACUUUUCUUAAAAAAUCGAAGAGAGGGUAAAGGAACAGUACCAUUGCUGGAUAAUUGGAAAGUCCCUGUGUGUCAACCUCUGUGCUUCGUGGCAAGGUAGACUAGCAAACAUGCCCAACCUUUACUCACAUUCGAGAAAACACUCCCAACAAGAUUGCUUGCUCCAAAAUCGGAGAGGCACCGCCCUCCGAAUCUCGAGAGCCAGACUCCCAACAUGAUUACUUUCUCAAAAAUCGAAGAGACACUGCUCCCCGAAUCUUCGAGAGCCAGAGCCCCAGCAUGAUUCCUUUCUCAAAAAUCGAUAAGGCAUCGUUCUCCAAAUCAAUCGAAGAGGCGCUCGCUUUCUCAAAAGCUGGGCUGCUCAGAGACCACGAGGGCCGAUCUCAGAAAUUGAAGAGGCACCUACUAUUCUAGCCUUGUCAGCACCUGUCACACGCACACUCAGCUUUGCAGAAAUUAUGGGCAUUCUGUCGAAGACUUCUGGUGAAGUAGAAAGCACAUGAAUCUUACUGUUCAAUCACCCACUUCCCACACGCAACAAUAGCUCAUGGGUACCACAGAUAACUUUGCCAAAGUUCUCUGCCAAAGUUGAGCACGUGAAGCUUGCAGCUCCCACUACAUCGCUCUGACCAAGAAAGGUAAAAGAAUAGCAAAGAAACAGCACUAACAAAGUUUAGACACAUAAAUUUUGAAGGUCUAGCUACUAUAUUAUUACCCACAAGGGUAAAGGAACAGUACCAUUGCUGGAUAAUUGGAAAGUUCCUGUGUGUCAACCUCUGUGCUUCGUGGCAAGGUAGACUAGCAAACAUGCCCAACCUUUACUCACAUUCGAGAAAACACUCCCAACAAAAUUGCUUGCUCCAAAAUCGAAGAGGCACCGUCCUCUCCGAAUCUCGAGAGCCAGACUCCCAACAUCUCAAAAGAAGAUACUUUCUCAAAAGCGAAGAUAGGGUAAAGGAACAGUACCAUUGCUAGAUAAUUGGAAAGUUCCUGUGUGUCAACCUUUGUGCUUCGGGGCAAGGUAGACUAGCAAACAUGCCCAACCUUUACUCACAUUCGAGACAACACUCCCAACAAGAUUGUUUGCUCCAAAAUCGAAGAGGCACCGCCCUCCGAAUCUCGAGAGCCAGACUCCCAACAUGAUUACUUCCUCAAAAAUCGAAGAGACACUGCUCUCCGAAUCUCGAGAGCCAGACCCCCAGCAUGAUUGCUUUCUCAAAAAUCGAAGAGGCAUCGUUCUCCGAAUCUCGAGAGCCAGAUACC
rnacentral:lncRNA from 1 species